GAUGAACGCUGGCGGCGUGCCUAAUACAUGCAAGUCGAGCGAACGGACGAGAAGCUUGCUUUUCUGAUGUUAGCGGCGGACGGGUGAGUAACACGUGGAUAACCUACCUAUAAGACUGGGAUAACUUCGGGAAACAGGAGCUAAUACCGGAUAAUAUUUUGAACCGCAUGGUUCAAAAGUGAAAGACGCUCUUGCUGUCACUUAUAGAUGGAUCCGCGCUGCAUUAGCUAGUUGGUAAGGUAACGGCUUACCAAGGCAACGAUGCAUAGCCGACCUGAGAGGGUGAUCGGCCACACUGGAACUGAGACACGGUCCAGACUCCUACGGGAGGCAGCAGUAGGGAAUCUUCCGCAAUGGGCGAAAGCCUGACGGAGCAACGCCGCGUGAGUGAUGAAGGUCUUCGGAUCGUAAAACUCUGUUAGUAGGGAAGAACAUAUGUGUAAGUAACUGUGCACAUCUUGACGGUACCUAAUCAGAAAGCCACGGCUAACUACGUG
rnacentral:rRNA from 1 species